GAUGAACGCUGGCGGCGUGCCUAAUACAUGCAAGUCGAGCGAACAGAUGAGGAGCUUGCUCCUCUGACGGUAGCGGCGGACGGGUGAGUAACACGUGCAUAACCCACCUAUAAUACUGGGAUAACUUCGGGAAACCGGAGCUAAUACCGGAUAAUAUAUUGAACCGCAUGGUUCAAUAGUGAAAGACGGUUCUGCUGUCACUGAUAGAUGGAUCCGCGCCGCAUUAGCCAGUUGGUAAGGUAACGGCUUACCAAGGCAACGAUGCGUAGCCGACCUGGGAGGGUGAUCGGCCACACUGGGACUGAGGCACGGUCCAGACUCCUACGGGAGGCGGCAGUAGGGAAUCUUCCGCACUGGGCGAAAGCUUGACGGAGCAACGCCGCGUGAGUGAUGAAGGUCUUCGGCUCGUAAAACUCUGUUAUUCGGGAAGAACAAAUGUGUAAGUAACUAUGCACGUCUUGACGGUACCUAAUGAGAAAGCGACGGCUAACUACGUG
rnacentral:rRNA from 1 species